UAUUUGCAUCCAAAAAGCACAAGAGUUAAAUGCAAUACAAUGGGGAGGGGUGCUCGGCUCCCAAGGCUUGAGAACCAGGACAUGACUGGAAAAUGACCAUGGCCCUGACUUGAGAAUCCUGUCUUUUUCUUCUGACGAGAUUGGAAAGCUUGGAAGUUCAUGUUGGGAUUCCCGUGAAGAUGGCCAAAUAAGAAUACACCAAGAAGGUGCCGAAUACUAACCGCCAAAAGAGUCUAUCUCGGCAUGCCACAGUAUGAGAGCUAUAGUCGUCCGGGACUUUUUCAAAUGACUUCUCAACAGAUUCAAUUGGAGGGGAAUGUAAAUGCCCUGAUUUGCAUUUUGUAGUGAAGGCCGUAAAAGGUUGUUCAGACUGCUCGUAACUGGUAAUGGGAUAAGAUGUAACUUAGGGUUAGGGUGAAUGAUGGGCGG